GACAGAGGAUGCAAGCGUUAUCCGGAAUGAUUGGGGCGUAAAGCGUCUGUAGGUGGCUUUUUAAGUCCGCCGUCAAAUCCCAGGGCUCAACCCUGGAAUGCCGGUGGAAACUGUCGAGCUCGAGUCCGGAAGAGGAGUGUGGAAUUCCUGGUGUAGCGGUGAAAUGCGCAGAUAUCAGGAGGAACACCAAUGGCGAAGGCAGCACUCUGGGACGGUACUGACGCUGAGACGCGAAAGCGUG
rnacentral:rRNA from 1 species